UAAUAAGUGUUUUAUGGCACUUUUUAAAUCCAUAUCCACCUUGUGUGCAAUGUUUUUUUUUUUUAAAUAAACACUUUAUUUUUUAAUUGCCAAUUUAUCUGAAGAUCAGUAUUAUUAUGAAUUAACUUAAUUCAAAAUA
rnacentral:misc_RNA from 1 species